rnacentral:lncRNA from 1 species
AAAAUCCCUAGAGAAGCCUUCGAUCCCCUUCGGGGCUGGUACCUCCAUCUUUUUCUUCCCUCACCACUCAUUUCCACCUCCGGCCGCCGCCACGGCCAGGCCGGCGUGGUAGGUGCGCCAACAUCACCACCCUGUACCACCAUAUCCAUCCAUCCGUCCACCGUGCCACCGCAAGCGCGCCACCCAACCGUCCAUCCACUCCAGCACCACCAUCCACACCAGCGCCAUCGUCUGAUCCCCAUCCCCUGCUGCUGCUCCUCUCUCCAGCGCCCCUUGCUACUCCCUCUCCCCACGUCCCUGUUGGAUCUGGUGCUCCUUCCUCUACCCUCGUAUCUGCUGCUGCUCCCUCUCCCCUCGUAUCUGCUGCUGCUCCCUCUCCACCCGUCUCUGCUGCUGCUCCUUUUCCCACGAUCUGCUGCUGCUCCUUCUUCCUUGACCUGUUGCUGCCCUCUCUCCAAACUGCUGCUUCUCCUCCUAACCUGAAGCUCUUCUUUUCCUUCAACGAGUUGCUGCUGUUAUCUCUCUCCCUCUCUCUCAAAUUUCUGUAAACCUCAAAAGUGUGACGUGCAGAAUUAUGUAAUAUCCAGAUUUGGUUCAGUUUUUUGCUUGUAAUACCUUGUUACAUCUUGUGUGUUCUAACAUGUUAUGCCUAGUUGCUAUGUAUAAUGUUUGGUCUAUGUGAUUUUGCUUUGUGAGUUAGUAAUCUGCAAGCUUGUGUUUGUGUUCAAUCUUGUGAACUUGUUCCAUUUUAUAGUCCACGUGUUAGAUCAAGUUCGUGUGAUAUAUAUAUAUAUAGUUUGCGUGUGUUUGUGAUGUGAAUCAUCUAUUUGCUGUCACAUAAUUCAGUUUCCUUCCUUUGUUAGAUGCUAGAUAGUUAUAUAUGUGUUCAUGUGUUUUUAAUUCAUCGAUGUUUGCUUGUGUUAGCAUUUUAUUUCUCUAUUAAAAUGAAAAUACCAAAAAAGUGAGUAAAGUCUGAACCUCCAUUUUGCUUGUUUUGCAUUUUCUUGAUCGACGAUUUUCCGGAACGAUCUUAGAUAAAUUUAGGUUUAUUUCCCCGCAAUCAUUCCAAAUAUUUUGUUACCUAGAUUUAGCCCAGCAUACUCGCUGAUUUGCCCAGUCCCUGUGGAGAACACGACAACCCACAGUUUGGGCGUAAAACCUCACUGUACUUACACUCGAUCAUUUUGGCACCGUUGUCGGGGACUAGCAUCGAGCUAUUGUGUUAGGCUAUAGACUAGGUUUUUCUUGUUUUCUUUUUGUGACGUUUUUAUGUGAUAUAUCUUUCACAACUAACCCCUGUUCUAGUAUAUUUCCGCUUUAUUUCUUUUUCCUUUCUGCAGGUUAGAACAAUCUUCUUGGAAAUGGCAUUCUACUCCGAUCAUCAUGCUUAUGUGAGCAAUAGCACCAAUAGCACCGAAAGUGUUCAAGACCUGAUAAGUAAGAUUUCCCAUCAAUUAGAUGAAUUAGCUUAUCAGCGAGGUACAAAUGUUGAGAAUGCACCUAGUUGUUAUGAUCGUUAUUAUUUAGGCCAUCCUUAUGCUGCUCCUACAUGCUAUAUUUGUGGAUUUUAGGGCCAUUCACCCGCUGAAUGUCAGCGUGGUUACUCUUACCCUCCAGAUUGUUUUGGCAUGAGCUUCGCCCCACAACAUAGCUCAUACCACAACAAUUACUCACAUGGGUGGCCUGAAAACCAGAAUAUGUCAUAUAGGAGCAACAACCCUGAGAUCUCACCAUUUGCUUCAAGAAAUCAUAUGCAGGGAUUUAGGUAUGAACAUGAGAGCCACAACUAUGCACCACAACAACUCUAUUCAGCUCCUACUCAUAUACCUCAACAUCAAGAGAUGUGUCCAAUGUAGUUAAAUGGUUCUCCAUUUGGUGAGCCAACACCUCCAGCACAUGUUGAGUAUCCAAUGCAAGUGCCUACUCAAGAUGAUUUUGACGACAUAGAGAAGCUCACACUUCUUAGCCUCGAGCUCACUUGGAGCGCUCAGGAUGAUCCUAUUAUGAAGGUUAUACUAGAGGAAAUUAAGAAGAUCAAGAGUGGGAAAUAGCUAGUGGAAGAAGUGAGGAAGAUUGAGAGGAAUAUCAAUGCUGGAGGUACUAUCUCAUCACUACUUGAGCUGAGUGUUGGUGGAAUUCACAUUCAGUUGAGCAAGAUAGCAUACGCCAAGAGGAAGAGAGACCUCAGAUUGAAGAUGUAUUUGAAGCCAAUGCACAAGAUGAUCUAGAGCUCGCCCAAGUGAUCAAGUAGAAGAACCAUCAUCUCUCACUCCUGAAGAAGUAAAAGAAGUUGUUGUACUUGAAGAUGAAGAACUAGAGAUUCAUUUGCCAAUCGUCAUACAAGAUUGUGAUGUAACAUUUUUAUCUAAUCCUCUUGAUGAUAUGCGUCCUUAUGGUUUAUUUGCUUCUACCUUGCAUUUCAUGACACCAUCAGUGAAGGUAGACUUGAAACAUUAUUGGCUUGGAGAUGAUGAUACUCAACCUGUUAGUGACAUUGCUCAUAUUUCUAUUGAUCAUACUUAUUCUCCUCAUGCUAGACCUAUGCUUAAUGAUAAAUAUCAUCACCAUGCUAGUAUUAAGUUUGCUGAUUCCUAGUAUCCUAAGCAUGUGCUUUAUUGCUAUAGAUAUAUAAUUGGGCACUCUAUUGAUGAUUUAGAGGGCAUUGUACCAACCGCUUGCAUUGUCUCUGUUGUUGAGUGUUGUUUCAGGUUUUUGCUUGUGCACGAUCUACUACAUGGUGACCAUGUUCAAGGUGACAUUCCUUGGUACCCUGGUGGAUUCAAAGCAUGGUGAAUAGGAGAAGCAAGGGACACACACGAAGAAGAGUGAAGUUGGAGCGGGCAUGAGAUAAGCAAGAGGAGAAGAGCUGCAGUUGGUGAGAUGAUCGAGAGGGUGCUACAUCAUCCAAGACCGGUGAGCUAUUUCAUGAUCCAUUCUGAAAUAAUCAUACAUUGAUACAUGCUGAAAUCAUUUGAUAUUUGGGUUUCUUGUGACAUUUGUUAAUUGUGUCAUCCUGAAAUUUACUUAUGUCAUAUUAUGCUUGAUAUGAAUUUGUGAACUGAUUUCUGAAUGCCUCAUAAACUAGUGAUCUAUACAAUGCUUGCUUUGCUGAAAGUAGUGAAAGUCAUUUGUUUCGAGUGCUCAAAUCCCUAGAGCACUAGUAAACUCCACCAUUUUUUGCUUUUACCUUGAUACAACUAGAUCACUAUGUUUAGAUGUUGAAUUUGUGCCAAAUGUGUUCCCAUUUAGAGCAAUUACUUGACCACUAUGGAUUAGCAUGCUAUGUUCCCUGGAUCGGUAGCAUGUGAACCACACAUUAAUGAGUGAUGAUUCUUGUUUUUGUUCGUUUGAAAAAAAAUGUAAUGUAUAAUUAUCUGAUCUACCUAACAGUAGCAUGCCAUAUUCCCUGGAUCGGUGGCUUGUGAAAUCUGGUUGGGUGAGAUAGGAGUUAAGUAUAAAAAAAUGUAAUUGUUGAACCAGGUGUAUACCAUGUUCUCUGGAUCGGUGGUAUGUUCCUUUGGGGAGACAAACAAAAAAACUAAUAAUUGGUAGAGCCAGGUGUAUACCAUGUUCUCGAGAUCGGUGGUAUGUUCCUUUCGUUAGACCAAUAACAUAUUGUCAUCGCUUCCUUCAAAUUCAAUAAGUGGUUUAACCACAUUGCUUUAUUUUUGUAAAUAAGUGAUCUCAUCACAAGUUUAAGUUCUUGUUCUCGGGAUCAUGCUCUCUUUAGGAACCUUUUGGCACAAUCAUCAUUUAAACUUGUUGAUCUUCGUCUAUCAUUGUAAAAGAUUAAAAUGGUCAAGUCUACUAGUACCCUAUUGUUUAUAGCACCCCUAACCAUUAUUUUUCACUAGCAACUUUCAAAGCAUGCAUUGUUUACAUAUCUACUUCACUUGGACAUUCUUUAGUCAGUUUACUGUUCACUAUCUUGCUCUGUCAUAUGCCUUUACUUGAGGACAAGUAAAUAUUUAAGUGUGGGGGAACUUGAUAAGUACAUUUCACAUAUAUAUUUUUUCACUCAAAUAUAGCAUCUGUUGUGAUAUAUUCGUCUAUUCUUGCUAUGAAAUAUGACAUAUAUGAAUGAAAAUCAUAUAAAAGAUCAUUUACUCAUCACUUGUUUAUUUUGCAGAAAAGUGCGCUAAGGCACUAUAAACUUCAAGGUUUGGAACCGUGAAGGAAAGAAGAGACCGAGGGGUCAAACUAAAGAAGCGGAGGAUCAACUUGUGCAGAAAGAAGAAAAGUAGAGGGGCCAAAUUGCAAAGGAGGAAAUCAGCCGUGAGGGGUCAAAAUCCCUAGAGAAGCCUUCGAUCCCCUUCGGGACUCUUACCUCAAUCUUCUUCUUCCCUCAAGCCUCCUUCCCCACCUCCAGCCACCGCCACGGCCAGGCCGGCAUGGUAGGUGCACCAACCGCACCACCCUGUACCACCAUCUCCAUCCAUUCGUCUACCGUGCCACCGCAAGCGCGCCACCCAACCAUCCAUCCACUCCAGCACCACCAUCCACUCCAGCCCGUCGUCUGAUCCCCAUCCCCUGCCGCUGCUCCUCUCUCCAGCGCCCCUAGCUGCUCCCUCUCCCCACGUCCCUGUUGGAUCUGCUGCUGCUCCCUCUCCCCUCGUAUCUGCUGUUGCUCCCUCUCCCCUCGUAUCUGCUGCUGCUCCUCCCUACUCUCGUCUCUGCUGCUGCUCCUUUUCCCAUGAUCUGUUGCUGCCCCUUCUUCCUUGAGCUGCUGCUCCUCGCUCUCCAAACUGAUACUACUGUUGCUCCUAACCCGAAUCUCUUCUUUUCCUUCAACUAGUUGCUGCUAUUAUUUAUCUCCCUCGCUCUCAAAUUUCUGUAAACCUGAGAAGUGUGAUGUUCAGAAUUAUGUAAUAUUCAGAUUUGGUUCAGUUUCGUACUUGUAAUAUCAUGUUACAUCUUGUGUGUUGUGACAUGUUAUGCCUAGUUGCUAUCUAUAAUGUUUGGUCUAUGUGAUUUUGCUUUGUGAGUUAGUAAUCUGCAAGCUUGUGUUUGUGUUCAAUCUUGUGAACUUGUUCCAUUUUAUAGUCUACGUGUUAGAUCAAGUUUGUGUGAUAUAUGUAUAUAUAGUAUGUGUGUGUUUGUGAUGUGAAUCAUCUAUUUCCUGUCACAUAAUUCAGUUUCCUUCCUCUGUUAAAUGCUAGAUAGUUAUAUAUGUGUUCAUGUCUUUUCAAUUCAUCGAUGUUUGCUUGUGUUUGCAUUUUAUUUCUCUAUUAAAAUGAAAAUACCAAAAGAAAGUGAGUAAAAUAUGAACCUCCCUUUUGUUUGUUUUGCAUUUUCUUCAUCGACGAUUUUCUGGAACGAUCUUAGAUAAAUUUAGGUUUAUUUCCCCGCAAUCAUUCCAAAUAUUUUGUUACCUAGAUUUAGCCGAGCAUAGUCG